rnacentral:rRNA from 1 species
AGUGAACGCUGGCGGUAGGCCUAACACAUGCAAGUCGAACGGCAGCACAGUAAGAGCUUGCUCUUACGGGUGGCGAGUGGCGGACGGGUGAGGAAUACAUCGGAAUCUACUUUUUCGUGGGGGAUAACGUAGGGAAACUUACGCUAAUACCGCAUAUGACCUACGGGUGAAAGCAGGGGAUCUUCGGACCUUGCGCGAUUGAAUGAGCCGAUGUCGGAUUAGCUAGUUGGCGGGGUAAAGGCCCACCAAGGCGACGAUCCGUAGCUGGUCUGAGAGGAUGAUCAGCCACACUGGAACUGAGACACGGUCCAGACUCCUACGGGAGGCAGCAGUGGGGAAUAUUGGACAAUGGGCGCAAGCCUGAUCCAGCCAUACCGCGUGGGUGAAGAAGGCCUUCGGGUUGUAAAGCCCUUUUGUUGGGAAAGAAAAGCAGCAGGUUAAUACCCCGCUGUUCUGACGGUACCCAAAGAAUAAGCACCGGCUAACUUCAUG